AAAAGCCGGAAGUGGUGCUGUGGCUCAGGUGGUAGAGCACUAGCCUUGAAGACAAAAAGUUUAGGGAGAGCACACAGGUUCUGAGUUCAAGCCCCAGGACCAGCA